AACUUAAAGGAAUUGACGGGGGCCCGCACAAGCGGUGGAGCAUGUGGUUUAAUUCGAUGAUACGCGAGGAACCUUACCUGGGCUCAAAUGUAUGUUGACGUAUUCUGAAAGGGAUACUUCUUCGGACAAUAUACAAGGUGCUGCAUGGUUGUCGUCAGCUCGUGCCGUGAGGUGUCGGGUUAAGUCCCAUAACGAGCGCAACCCCUAUCAUUAGUUGCCAUCAGGUCAAGCUGGGGACUCUAAUGAAACUGCCUACGCAAGUAGUGAGGAAGGUGGGGAUGACGUCAAAUCAGCACGGCCCUUACGUCCAGGGCUACACACGUGUUACAAUGGCCAGUACAGAGGGCAGCCACCCCGCGAGGGGGCGCUAAUCCUAAAAGCUGGUCCCAGUUCGGAUCGGAGUCUGCAACCCGACUCCGUGAAGCUGGAUUCGCUAGUAAUCGCGCAUCAGCCACGGCGCGGUGAAUACGUUCCCGGGCCUU
rnacentral:rRNA from 1 species